UGAACGCUGGCGGCAUGCUUUACACAUGCAAGUCGACCGGCAGCGCGGGGCAACCUGGCGGCGAGUGGCGAACGGGUGAGUAAUAUAUCGGAACGUACCCAGAAGUGGGGGAUAACGUAGCGAAAGUUACGCUAAUACCGCAUACGAUCUACGGAUGAAAGUAGGGGACCGCAAGGCCUUAUGCUUUUGGAGCGGCCGAUAUCUGAUUAGCUAGUUGGUGAGGUAAAGGCUCACCAAGGCGACGAUCAGUAGCUGGUCUGAGAGGACGACCAGCCACACUGGAACUGAGACACGGUCCAGACUCCUACGGGAGGCAGCAGUGGGGAAUUUUGGACAAUGGGCGCAAGCCUGAUCCAGCAAUGCCGCGUGAGUGAAGAAGGCCUUCGGGUUGUAAAGCUCUUUUGUCAGGGAAGAAACGGUAGAGGCUAAUAUCCUUUGCUAAUGACGGUACCUGAAGAAUAAGCACCGGCUAACUACGUG
rnacentral:rRNA from 1 species